UACGAAGGUGGCAAGCGUUGUUCGGAUUUACUGGGCGUACAGGGAGCGUAGGCGGUUGGAUAAGCCCUCCGUGAAAUCUCCAGGCUUAACCUGGAAAGUGCAGAGGGGACUGUUCAGCUAGAGGAUGGGAGAGGAGCGCGGAAUUCCCGGCGUAGCGGUGAAAUGCGUAGAGAUCGGGAGGAAUACCGGUGGCGAAAGCGACUCUCUGGACGGCAACUGACGCUGAGGCACGAAAGCGUGGGGAGCAAACAGG
rnacentral:rRNA from 1 species